GGGGUUGUGGCUCAGUGGUAGAGCACUUGCUAGCACAUGUGAGAGGUACUGGGUUUGAUCCUAAGUACCUCA
rnacentral:tRNA from 1 species